CGCUGCGUAGCUCAGUUGGAUAGAGCGCGGGUUUCCGAAACCCAAGGUCACAUGUUCGAGCCAUGUCGCAGCGGCCA
rnacentral:tRNA from 1 species